AUGGCCGACGCCGCCGCGCUCGUCGCCGUGCCGCCGACGCCGCAGCAGCGGCACCCGCUGAGCCAGAUCGCGGCGAGCGGGACGCACCGGCUGCUGCUCAAGCAGUGGCUCAAGGAGGAGGACCUGCUGGCGCGCCGCGUCGCGCUGCGGGAGGCCCGCCUCGACGGCGCGCGCAAGGAGAUCGCCUUCCUCUACUGCGCCUUCUUCGCCUUCCACGCCGCCUCCGUCCUCGUCCUCUUCCUCUCCGCCUCCAUCCCCUCCCCCGGCCCGUACUCCUCCUCCUGCCGCCGCUCCUGGAUCCCCUGCCUCGUCUCGCUGCUCGCCUCCCUGGCCAUGCUCUGGGCGCUGCGGUACAAGGCGGACACGGAGGCCGUGCUGGAGCGGGUGCUGGCGCGGGAGCAGGAGGACGCCGCGCUGCUCGGGCGCUGCGUCGCCGAGCUCAAGCGCAAGGGGCUCGAGUUCGACCUGCUCAAGGAGGUGGACGCGCUGCGCAGGGCCAAGGCCCUCCGCGUCGAGGCCAAGGCCGGCGCCGACGGGCCCAGGCGCUGGCCCGCCAGGGACCUCCCCGUCUUCGCCCUCUUCGGCGCGGCAUGCGGCGUCCUCGUGCUCACCAGGUUCCUGCUCUGCAACUAA
rnacentral:rRNA from 1 species